GACUGGCAGGAGGCGGAGAUGACAGACCGCUCCAGGAACGAGCUAUAGAGCGAUCGCAUACCCCCCGCAAGGCCCUCCAGGACUCGCUGACUCCCGGGCAGAGGUCAAGGGUCAGGAAUGGGUCCAGCUGUGCGCCUGGAAAGGACCCAGCGUGCCCACGCUCCCGGCAAGCCAGGACUCAAACAUCCCCAAAGGGCGUCCGGGCUGAUGACGAUAGCUCCCAAUCGCCCUCCAGACGCACACUGGCAGGAACAACCGGAGGGACUUCCCUGACCGACCCCGCGUUUGCUCAGCUUUGAAUUCCCGCUCUGUAGAUCUGUCGCAAUUUAACCAGAAGUCACCCUGGUGAGGGGACAGGUUGGCUUGCCCUGCUGAGUGUGGUUGUUAAGUUCCCAGGGGGGGGGGGGGGGCUGUGACUCCUUCUAGGGGUUUGUCCCUGGGAUCUGAUACCAGAAUGCCUCAAGGGAAUCUGCCUUAGUCACCCUCGGUGGAGAGUGACCUUUUAAGAGUGCUCAAGGGAUGACUAAAUACGAAUGUGAUGACAUAUACGGAUGAAAAAUGCCAUAAUGAAGCCCAUUACUUAGUAUGCUAACCAAAGGAUAAUUUUAAAAAAGAAAGUAGUUCUAUGGCGGGAAGCGCAUAACAAAAAGGAAAGUGCUUUAAACCUCUCAGCGGUUGUUGCAGAGAUUCUUAAAGAUUGGUUACACGCAGCUCCAGUAAGCGAAAAGUUUACACUGCAGAUGCUCUUCCUAAAUUCACUGGUAACUUUAUCCAAGUUGGGAAGACAGUUCAUUGCUUCUCUUGGCACAAUGUAAUGGCCUUUCAGAUUUUUCUUAAGUCUAGCCUUUUCCUCCAAGGGUGCACGAAGACCUGAUUCUCCCUGUUCCCACUAAAUUGAUUUAUUCUUUGCACCAUAUUAAAAUACAUACACCUCAAAAUAGAUCAUGGUGUAAAUGGAAAGACCUAAAAUUAU